rnacentral:rRNA from 1 species
AUUGAACGCUGGCGGCAGGCCUAAUACAUGCAAGUCGAACGGUAACAUAAGAAAGCUUGCUUUCUUGAUGACGAGUGGCGGACGGGUGAGUAAUAUUUGGGAAGCUACCUGAUAGAGGGGGACAACAGUUGGAAACGACUGCUAAUACCGCAUAAAGCCUGAGGGUGAAAGCAGCAAUGCGCUAUCAGAUGCGCCCAAAUGGGAUUAGCUAGUAGGUGAGGUAAAGGCUCACCUAGGCGACGAUCUCUAGCUGGUCUGAGAGGAUGAUCAGCCAAAUUGGGACUAGGAGCCGGCCCAGACUCCUACGGGAGGAAGCAGUAGGGAAGAUUGCACCAUGGGGGAAACCCUGAUGCAGCCAUGCCGGGUGUGUGAAGAAGGCCUUCGGGUUGUAAAGCACUUUCGGAGGGGAGGAACAAAUGACGUUACCCUCAGAAGAAGCACCGGCUAACUCCGUGCCAGCCGCCGCAGUAA